UACGACUAUAUCACAUUGAAGCACUGUUUCUCGUACGACCACAGAAGUUAAGCAAGAUCAAGCCUGGUCAGUAUCUAGAUGUGUGACCGCUUGGAAGUACCAGGUGCUGUAA